GGACUCCUGCCGUGUUCGCCAUUGCCAUAAUUCCUUGAACCAUUUUUACGCAGCGGUUACGGAAUAUCGUUUGAUGGGCGUGAUCGUCGCUAGUCCGAUGAACCCGAAAUUGAACUAACUGUAGCCAACUUGAACCUUCUUGGUUCAGGAUGCCGGUAAAGCGGCACGCGCGGGAAUCAA
rnacentral:other from 1 species